GUCUUUGCACCCUCAGGUGGUGCAGUGGAUCAGUGUGUCUGGCUAUUAACCAGAAGGUUGGUGAAUCGAGCCCAUCUAGGGACA